GACGAACGCUGGCGGCGUGCUUAACACAUGCAAGUCGAACGGAAAGGCCCUGCUUUUGUGGGGUGCUCGAGUGGCGAACGGGUGAGUAACACGUGAGUAACCUGCCCUUGACUUUGGGAUAACUUCAGGAAACUGGGGCUAAUACCGGAUAGGAGCUCCUGCUGCAUGGUGGGGGUUGGAAAGUUUCGGCGGUUGGGGAUGGACUCGCGGCUUAUCAGCUUGUUGGUGGGGUAGUGGCUUACCAAGGCUUUGACGGGUAGCCGGCUUGAGAGGGUGACCGGCCACAUUGGGACUGAGAUACGGCCCAGACUCCUACGGGAGGCAGCAGUGGGGAAUAUUGCACAAUGGGCGGAAGCCUGAUGCAGCAACGCCGCGUGCGGGAUGACGGCCUUCGGGUUGUAAACCGCUUUCGCCUGUGACGAAGCGUGAGUGACGGUAAUGGGUAAAGAAGCACCGGCUAACUACGUG
rnacentral:rRNA from 1 species